UGGGGAGCUGUGGAGCUGAUCCUUAUGGUGAGGAGGGAAAGAGAAGAAGGAAAGACUUUAAGGUGAAGAGUUUACAGAAUAAUCUCUGUAGAGCUCCGUCUCUUGAGAGGUUUUUUCUUUGCAGGUUGUUUCAGAGUAACUCUGGAUGACUCUUUCAUUAAUGUGAGACAAUUAAACGGUGGGAGUGACGUCGCAGGCAUUGUGUUGUCAAGUUCGGCAUGAUCAAACAGAGGAGUCAGUAACAGUGAACUCGGCUUCUCCUCUCACGUCUUUGCCUCGCUCUCUUUAUGUUCCUUAACAUUCUUAUUUGUGCCCGUGUGUAUGUCAAAGGGAAGAAAGGCAAAGGCUUUGUUUCCGUACAGAAACUCUCUAUGAUUCAUGUUUCCUCCGCUUUGAUCUCCGAGCUCUGCACAGCCCUGGGAUAAACCAUUUCAGGUUGUCUAAACAAUUUCCAAUCACUGUUUCCAUAUUUAGGUUCUUAUAUGAAGGAGGAAAGCGAAGGCCUUUGCAUGCUAACACGCUCCUCUGUGAGCAGCAGGGUGGUGGAGGGAAAGAACCUGAUUCCACCCAUUAAAAGUGAGCCCAGACAUUGAUUUGUGCAGACUGCACACACAUGCACAAACAAACAUUCAUGUGAGCCCACAACACACACAUCUGCACAGCCAUAUGCCCCAUGAGGUCA